rnacentral:rRNA from 1 species
UACGAAGGGUGCAAGCGUUACUCGGAAUUACUGGGCGUAAAGCGUGCGUAGGCGGUUUGUUAAGUCUGCUGUGAAAUCCCCGGGCUCAACCUGGGAAUGGCAGUGGAUACUGGCAAGCUAGAGUGCGGUAGAGGGUAGUGGAAUUCCCGGUGUAGCGGUGAAAUGCGUAGAGAUCGGGAGGAACACCAGUGGCGAAGGCGGCUACCUGGACCAGCACUGACACUCAGGCACGAAAGCGUGGGGAGCAAACAGG